UUAGGUGCCUAUAUCGGCGGUGUCCACCUCUUCCCAUUCCGAACAGAGAAGUUAAGCCCGCCAGAGCCGAUGGUACUGCAGUAACAUGUGGGAGAGUAGGUCGGUGCCAAAUCUUAAAUCAGCCCGGUAGUUUCAGUACUACCGGGCUUUUUUGUGCGUUA
rnacentral:rRNA from 1 species